UACAGAGGGUGCAAGCGUUAAUCGGAAUGACUGGGCGUAAAGGGUGCGUAGGUGGUAUAACGAGUUGGGUGUGAAAGUCCCGGGCUUAACCUGGGGAUUGCGCUCAAUACUGUUAAGCUAGAGUACUGUAGAGGAAGGUGGAAUUUCCAGUGUAGCGGUGAAAUGCGUAGAUAUUGGAAGGAACAUCAGUGGCGAAGGCGACUUUCUGGACAGAUACUGACACUGAGGCACGAAAGCGUGGGGAGCAAACAGG
rnacentral:rRNA from 1 species